rnacentral:misc_RNA from 1 species
UUAACUUAUUAUAUAGUACUCAGACGACACGUAAACAUUAGGGUUGGGGUCCUCUGGCAGGCGCUGCUCAGCCGGAGCCGAGUGCCCCGGGGGGCGGGCCUGCCAAAGCAACAAAGGUAUAAUACACAGGGUGGGAGGUCUACCCGUGAGGGCAUGAUCUCAGUAAUGAUCCUUCCGCUGGUUCACCAACGGAAA